GAUGAACGCUGGCGGCGUGCCUAAUACAUGCAAGUCGAGCGAAAAGACGAGGAGCUUGCUCCUCUGACGUUAGCGGCGGACGGGUGAGUAACAAGUGGAUAAGCUUCUUAUAUGUCGGGGGUAACUUCGGGAGACCGGAUCUAAUACUGGAUAAUAUAUCGAACCGCAUGGUUCAAUGGUGAUUGACGGUUUUGCUGUCACUUAUAGAUGGAUCCGCGCCGCAUUAGCUAGUUGGUAAGGUAACGGCUUACCAAGGCAACGAUGCGUAGCCGACCUGAGAGGAUGAUCAGCCACACUGGAACUGAGACACGGUCCAGACUCCUACGGGAGGCAGCAGUAGGGAAUCUUCCGCAAUGGGCGAAAGCUUGACGGAGCAACGCCGCGUGAGUGAUGAAGGUCUUCGGAUCGUAAAACUCUGUUAUUAGGGAAGAACAACUGUGUAAGUAACUAUGCACGUCUUGACGGUACCUAAUCAGAAAGCCACGGCUAACUACGUG
rnacentral:rRNA from 1 species